GGGUAAAGGCCUUCCCAAGCGACGAUUUGUAGGUGGUUUGAGAGGAUGAUCAACCACACCGGGACUGAGACACGGCCCGGACUCCUACGGGAGGCAGCAGUGGGGAAUAUUGGACAAUGGGGGAAACCCUGAUCCAAGCCAUGCCGAGUGGAUGAAGAAGGCCUUUUGGUUGUAAACCACUUUAAGCAGUGAAGAAGACUUCCAUGGUUAAUCCCCAUGGACGAUGACAUUAGCUGCAGAAUAAGCACCGGCUUACCUCUGUGCCAGCAGCCGCGGUAAUACAGAGGGUGCAAGCGUUAAUCGGAAUUACUGGGCGUAAAGGGAGCGUAGGUGGCUCGAUAAGUCAGAUGUGAAAUCCCCGGGCUCAACCUGGGAACUGCAUCUGAUACUGUUGAGCUAGAGUAUGUGAGAGGAAGGUAGAAUUCCAGGUGUAGCGGUGAAAUGCGUAGAGAUCUGGAGGAAUACCGAUGGCGAAGGCAGCCUUCUGGCAUAAUACUGACACUGAGGCUCGAAAGCGUGGGUAGCAAACAGGAUUAGAUACCCUGGUAGUCCACGCCGUAAACGAUGUCUACUAGUCGUUGGGUCCCUUGAGGACUUAGUGACGCAGCUAACGCAAUAAGUAGACCGCCUGGGGAGUACGGCCGCAAGGUUAAAACUCAAAUGAAUUGACGGGGGCCCGCACAAGCGGUGGAGCAUGUGGUUUAAUUCGAUGCAACGCGAAGAACCUUACCUGGUCUUGACAUAUCUAGAAUCCUGCAGAGAUGCGGGAGUGCCUUCGGGAAUUAGAAUACAGGUGCUGCAUGGCUGUCGUCAGCUCGUGUCGUGAGAUGUUGGGUUAAGUCCCGCAACGAGCGCAACCCUUGUCCUUAGUUACCAGCGGGUUAAGCCGGGAACUCUAAGGAUACUGCCAGUGACAAACUGGAGGAAGGCGGGGACGACGUCAAGUCAUCAUGGCCCUUACGACCAGGGCUACACACGUGCUACAAUGGUAGGUACAGAGGGCAGCUACACAGCGAUGUGAUGCGAAUCUCAAAAAGCCUAUCGUAGUCCAGAUUGGAGUCUGCAACUCGACUCCAUGAAGUAGGAAUCGCUAGUAAUCGCGGAUCAGAAUGCCGCGGUGAAUACGUUCCCGGGCCUUGUACACACCGCCCGAACACGCCAUGGGAGUUGAUUGCACCAGAAGUGGAUAGCUUAACCUUCGGGGGAGCGUUCACC
rnacentral:rRNA from 1 species